UACGUAGGAGGCAAGCGUUGUCCGGAAUUACUGGGCGUAAAGCGCGUGUAGGUGGUGGGACAAGUCUGGUGUGAAAGCGCCUGGCUUAACCGGGCGAGGUCGGCGGAAACUGUUCGACUCGAGGACGGUAGAGGGGGGUGGAAUUCCCGGUGUAGUGGUGAAAUGCGUAGAGAUCGGGAGGAACACCUGUGGCGAAGGCGGCCCCCUGGGCCGGCCCUGACACUGAGACGCGAAGGCGUGGGGAGCGAACGGG
rnacentral:rRNA from 1 species